rnacentral:lncRNA from 1 species
AACAGCCAGGCGGCUAGGGUCACCAUUUGGGAUUCCUCCUUUAUUUUUAUGAGUAGUCUAACAGACCAUUUCAUUUUCAUUUUAUUUUUUUAAUUAAUUUUGAUUUUAACCUAUUCUGGUUUAUAUAUCCAAGUUGUUGUUGUAAAUAAUAACUAGUCAUGAGUGGCCUAGUGGAGAGAGGUUGGUUUCAUGGUCUUUAGUGGAGCGGGUUCGAUACUUAGGGAUAACCAAUUUUUUGUGUUUAUAUUUGUUAUGUUUAUUAUUUUAUUUAAUUUCUUUUUCUAUAUAGUACCUUGCUAUUUAUUUUAAUUUUAGGUUAUUAAUACCCAUUUCCAUACCCUUGUAAGUCGGUUGCUUUUAAGCAUCGCCAUCAACCUCA